GUGCUCACUUCGGCAGCAUCUAUACUAAAACUGGAAUGAUACAGAGAAUAUUAGCAUGGCCCCUGUGCAAGGAUGACAUGCAAAUUCAUGAAGCAUUCCAUAUUUUU
rnacentral:snRNA from 1 species